rnacentral:lncRNA from 1 species
CCUGGAGCUCAAUUAGAUCCUCCUCUGCAAGGCCACCUUCCCGAUAUCCUGGAAGUUAGUGAUGGCUCCCUCAGUAGCCUCAAUCCUUCUAAAAAUGUCACCAACCUCAAACCUAUUCCACCGACAUAGAUGUCUCCUGGUUUGCUGUGGUCUCCAUAUCACUCGAUAUCUGGCAUCACCCCGGAUCGAUAGUCUCUACACCUAUCUCAUGAUAUCUUAGAAUCGAGGGUACAAUAACCAAAACUUUUCAAAAUGAAAGAGACUAUGGUCAGAGAGAAAAGUAUCAGUGCUCACCA